rnacentral:rRNA from 1 species
CCUACGGGUGGCAGCAGUGAGGAAUAUUGGUCAAUGGGCGAGAUCCUGAACCAGCCAAGCCGCGUGAAGGAAGACGGCCCUAUGGGUUGUAAACCUCUUUUAUCGGGGAACAAAACCCGGUACGUGUCCCGGUCUGCAUGUAUCCUAUGAAUAAGCAUCGGCUAACUCCGUGCCAGCAGCCGCGGUAAUACGGAGGAUCCGAGCGUUAUCCGGAUUUAUUGGGUUUAAAGGGUGCGUAGGCGGGCCGUUAAGUCAGGUGUGAAAGUUGGGGGCUCAACCGAAUUAGUGCAGUUGAUACUGGCAGACUUGAGUUGGAGAGAGGUACGCGGAAUGCGGGGUGUAGCGGUGAAAUGCAUAGAUAUCGCGAAGAACUCCGAUUGCGAAGGCAGCGUACUGG